rnacentral:rRNA from 1 species
UGGGGGAUAUUGCACAAUGGGCGCAAGCCUGAUGCAGCGACGCCGCGUGGGGGAUGAAGGCCUUCGGGUUGUAAACUUCUUUUGCUCUGAACAAGGCGCACUUUGGGGUGUGUUGAGUGUAGGGGUUGAUUAGCGCCGGCUAACUACGUGCCAGCAGCCGCGGUAAUACGUAGGGCGCGAGCGUUGUCCGGAAUUAUUGGGCGUAAAGGGCUUGUAGGUGGCUGGUUGCGUCUGUCGUGAAAGCUCAUGGCUUAACUGUGGGUUUGCGGUGGGUACGGGCUGGCUUGAGUGCAGUAGGGGAGGCUGGAAUUCCUGGUGUAGCGGUGGAAUGCGCAGAUAUCAGGAGGAGUACCGGUGGCGAAGGCGGGGCUCUGGGCUGUUACUGACACUGAGGAGCGAAAGCAUGGGGAGCGAACAGG